GAUGAACGCUGGCGGCGUGCCUAAUACAUGCAAGUCGAGCGAAUGGAUUAAGAGCUUGCUCUUAUGAAGUUAGCGGCGGACGGGUGAGUAACACGUGGGUAACCUGCCCAUAAGACUGGGAUAACUCCGGGAAACCGGGGCUAAUACCGGAUAACAUUUUGAACCGCAUGGUUCGAAAUUGAAAGGCGGCUUCGGCUGUCACUUAUGGAUGGACCCGCGUCGCAUUAGCUAGUUGGUGAGGUAACGGCUCACCAAGGCAACGAUGCGUAGCCGACCGGAGAGGGGGAUCGGCCAGACUGGGACUGAGACACGGCCCAGACUCCUACGGGAGGCAGCAGUAGGGAAUCUUCCGCAAUGGACGAAAGUCUGACGGAGCAACGCCGCGUGAGUGAUGAAGGCUUUCGGGUCGUAAAACUCUGUUGUUAGGGAAGAACAAGUGCUAGUUGAAUAAGCUGGCACCUUGACGGUACCUAACCAGAAAGCCACGGCUAACUACGUGCCAGCAGCCGCAGUAC
rnacentral:rRNA from 1 species